rnacentral:rRNA from 1 species
UACGUAGGUGGCAAGCGUUGUCCGGAAUUAUUGGGCGUAAAGCGCGCGCAGGCGGUCUCCUAAGUCCGAUGUGAAAGCCCCACGGCUCAACCGUGGAGGGUCAUUGGAAACUGGGGGGACUUGAGUGCAGGAGAGAAGAGUGGAAUUCCACGUGUAGCGGUGAAAAUGCGUAGAGAUGUGGAGGAACACCAGUGGCGAAGGCGACUCUUUGGCCUGUAACUGACCGCUGAGGCGCGAAAGCGUGGGGAGCAAAC